CUGUCCUUCAGAGUGGGCAAGGGAGAGCUGGACGUGCAGAGAUGUGUGAGGUUACACAUCAUAAAGAACAACUCAAGAUCGUAUCACACGGCAGUAUAAACCUGCCACUUCUACUUGGCCCAGGACUGACAUCUGUCUCUGACUCAGAAGAGCUUUUCCAGCUUAUCAAAGUGGAGGCGUGACGUAAAUCAGCCAUGGUCCCUCAGAGACCACCAACACCCCCAGUUCUAAAAGCUUCUAACUUCAACUGGCAAAGGAUGCCCCAGGCCAAGCCAUCAGCUCACCCCAACAUGACUCUGCAAAUGGUGGAAGCCACCUUGCUGCCUUGUCAGGACGAGUGAUCCUCCCUAUGCAGGCUGCAUCUCCAGCCUAUGGCCUGGCCUCUCUGGAUCCCCUGUCUUGCCAGAUGCUUCAUCUUCGUUUUGCAAAUAGUCUCUGCUGGUGUACUGUGGUUUUCUGCUGUUGCCUCUGUGAAUCUCUCUCAAGACUUAAGAAAUCUCUAGGGAGAAGCUGUGUUGUUUUAAUUGAGAUUACAAAAUGGAGAUGAACUUCCCAAUUGAGUCAAAUAUUACAAAUUUGGCUAACUUU
rnacentral:lncRNA from 1 species